CAGAAAUCAUUUUAAUGGACCUUCAUCUUCACAUCCUACUGAUUUAUUUGCUGCAUGUGAAAGGAAAUCAUUUUCAUAUCUUUUAAACAUCUAGUGCUAGUUUUGAUCUAGUAACUAGCAGAAGUAACACUUUGAGAAGUAAUUGAGUCUCUGCUUUUUCAGGCCGCCCAGGGAGGUGGUGGAGUCACCAUUCCUUGAGGUGUUCAAGAACCAUGGAGAUGUAGCACUGAGGGACAUGGUCAGUGGGAGCGGUGGAGGUAAAUUUAAGGGCAUGCAUCUCUGGCUGGACUUUUCUGGAAGGACUUUUCUGCAGCCUUUUGCAUUCUCUAUGUUCAGAGGAUAGAAGCUGUAACCAUUCAGUUCUGCAAUCAGGCUUGGCUCCAGUGAAAAUAAAGUUGAAUUCCAACAUAAGGUAACCGGUAAGCUUUUGUGUGAUGGACCACCACCACCAAGAUAACCAGCUUUCAAAUAUGAGGAUAAUGAACACACUGUUUAAGUCCAUGGAACUCUGAUUUACUGUGGCUGAGGCUCUGGAAGAACUUUUUUUUUUCUCUUUGUUUUGUAGACUCAGGAUGGAAAACUGAAAGAAAGGAAUGGAAAUGUUUCAGAGAGGAGACAGACAGCUGGUGGAGUUGCAGAUUGCUUUGUCAAGGAACAACAAAGAUUCUGCUGAAGUUGAUAUUAGGCCAACAGGGAUUCUGUGGAGAGUUUCCCUUCAACAAGCAUAGCAUCUCUCAGAGAGUUCACAAGCAGGAGGAAUCAAAAUGUGGGAGACCAGGAGGUCAGGACAGCAUGCUUGAUUGCCUACAUGAAGAGUAACAAGCUUCUUCUCUGGUCCCAUGUGAGCCACCUGGAAACCAUUGAGGAGCACAAGAGCCCCAGUAUCAUCUCAGUGGAUGUUCCAGAGAAACUGUUUGAAUGUCUGUUCUAGAAAGGUACAUGAAUUUAUCCUGCAAUGAAUACAGAAGCAUAGGAGAUGGAGGACAGGACCUUGACCUGAACAGAUCUGAAGAAUGAGAUACAGAAAACAGAAAAAAAAAUCAACUUUUCAUGAAGAGUUGAAAGAAAGAAAAAAGAAGAAAGUGCAUGUCCUUCAAAAAGGAAAUCCUCCAGCAAAUCUGCUAAUGAAGUCCCUGCUCAUUUUGCAUUCUGGAUUUGUCCAAAGAGGUGCUAAAUAUCAGCAGGUAAUGGAGGACGGGAACAAUACUGUUGAGCAACGACAAGCAAGUGAGAUUAAAGCUGAAAAUACUGAUUCUACAAGAACUGCUUGUUCAUGGGAAUGCUGCUGCUACAUGCCAGAAAAUCUAAAGAAGAAAAAUAAUGAAAAGGUGAAGUAAUUUCUUUGAAUUCACAGUAAAUCAGCAGACUCAUGGAUCGAAGUCAGACUAAUAGACCAAGGACAAACACAACUGCGGGGAUUGGCCUCUUCUCCCAGCGUAGGAGAGUUUCAAAGAGGAACCUGACAGAUAUUUGCUCCUGCUGGGCUGAGCUGUGAUGCUGGAGAUUUCAAGAAGAUACUCCACAGCAGUUGAGUGACUUUCUCAUUGCAAGGCAACGCUGGGAAAAGCAUCCUCUCCAGGUAGGAAGAAAGUGUAAAAAGAAGUCCGGAAAUGAGGCUUAUAUCUGAUGGAUAUUGGGUGCUGGCAGGGUCAUACCUGGAAAGAGGUGGUGCACCAAAACUGACAAGGUAGGGAAAUCUUCCAUCCAGGUUUACAGAGAAUAGCAGAGGGUUCACUCUCAUUUUGAUCUGAUAUAAUGCUUUGAAUCUGGGAAAAUAUAUGGUAUAACUUUUCAUUAAAAAAUAUUUAUUUUUUAACAUGUGAGACUAGAUGCAUUUCACAGUUUUAUUUUGCUGUUUCCUGUCUGUCUUUCUUCAACUCUCGUG
ensembl:lncRNA